ACCAAACAAUGGUCAUUUCACAAUGUUCAUACAGGAACUAUGAUAAUUCAAUUAGAUUAAAGUUAACAACAUGGUAUAUUUAUCAAUAGCAUUGAGUCAUUAGAAUUAUAAAAUUGAAAAUGGAAAUGGAGAAUGUGUCAAAGAGACAACAAUCCGACCAUAAAACAAACAACAACAGAAGGUCUCCAACAGGUCUUCGAUGUAGCGAGAAAUUCCCGCACCCGGAGGGGUCCUUAAGCUGGCCUCCUAAACAAUUAUAUAUAGUCUAGUUCAGUGAUAGAUAAACUCAUCAUAGAUACCAGGACUAAAUUUAGUAUAUACACCAGACGCGCGUUUCGUCUACAAAAGACUCAUCAGUGAGCAUUGAGAACCAAAAUUUCUAUAAGUUUUGCCAAAUACAGCUAAGGUAAUCUAUGCCUGAGGUAGAAAGUCUUAUAUAAUAUACUUAUUUACAAUAUUUUUAUUAAUGCUUUCACAAUGACAACUCGAAUAAAAUUAACGGUGCCAUUUUUUUUUUGGCACAAGAUGUGCAUUUCGACAAUAAAUGUUUCUUAAAUGAUAACAAAAUCUCAAGCUUAUUAAGAACUGAACAGUUUUUUUAUAAACCUUAAAGAACAAAAAAGUAUAGAAGAGAAAAAGUAGUAUGUACAUGUAGUGAACAGUGAAGAAAUACUAUAAAAGUAUUAGCUCCGAUCAAGAUAUAUAAGCAAAUCGCGGACUUUUCAGCAGACAUUUUGGACUUCAGUUAAAAAGUAUGCAAAAUGAUACUUUUAACGUAAAAUUUCAUAUUCAUAUAUAAUUAAUUGGUAAAUUACAUAUAAACAAUAACAAAAAUGAAUAAAAGAAAUAGCUUAAAUUAUACAUAUUGGCUACAGGACAAAUAUUAAUUCUUCAUAAGAUCAUUUUCAAUUCAAGUAAAUUUUGGCAUAAAAAAGCAAUACAAAAAUGGUCGAGGAAAGUUCAUAAUAACCUUUGAAAAUAUAAAUAAGCUUUAUUAAGAAAAAAAAAGACUCCCUCAAAACAGGUUCCACACUUAAAUUGAUACAACCUAUAUGUAUAGACUUGUCAGCGUUUACGAAACUUACACAACAUACAAAAAUUACACUCACACUAAUAAAUCUUUUUAUUACCCCACACUUUUGAAAACCAAGAUGUUGAGCAAUCAAUUUAUUUGUAAGGCUAAUGCGUCAUUUGAUUCAUAGUAACACACAUAUAAUAUUAAAUGACCAGAUUAUAUUUGAAAAUUGCAUAUCAACAGAAAAUUUAAUGGGUCAUACCGAACAGCAAGCUAUAAAGGGCCUCAAAAAUUUCUAGUGUAAAACGAUUUAAACGGGAAAAACAACGGUCUAAUCUGUAUUAAAAAAAAAAACGGAAAAAGAGAAACACUUACGAAACACAUCAACAAACGACAACAACUGAACAUCAGUUACUUGACUAAUGACAGGUGCAACCGAAUGCAGUGGGUUUAAACGUUUAAAUAUGUACCAGCCUAUACACUUAUCUGAAACAAUACAUUAACAUCACAACAUAGAAAGAAAAACUAUAAAAUAUCAAUUGAAAUAGCUUAACUCAAUCAAAGACAUAUAGACACAAGUGAACAUGUACUAAACGAUUAAAAUUAAUCUUUUACACAAUGUAUAUACAAAAUCAAUAAAAUAAAGGGUGAAUAAAUAAAGGCAACAGAAGUAUACCGCUGUGAGAUGUUAGACGAUUUAAAACUAAAAAUAACAUUGAGCAAAAAGCUUCCAAAUAGAAUAAUGUACACAGAUAAAUGAAAAUAUUUUUUGUAAGAUACAUAUAGUUUUAAUGAAGACGUAUGAAGUGUCAUUGAACUAUCAUGUCGAUUUUUUUUUUUUGAUUUUUUUUGGUUUAUCAUUGUGCUCAAAUUACGUAAUCGUAGAUAAAUGUCUGAUGUGUCAGUUUUUGGUAAACACACAUAUGAAUAAUAACAUCAGUUUACUUGACCAUUAAGUUCAAUUAACGAGGUGUAAAUACAAGACCCCCUCAUAUAUAUUGCUUUAACUAAGAGGAUUACAAUUUCUGUUCAUAGAAAUAGAUUCUUUUUUUGAUAACAAUACACAUUUUUUUUAAUUUAAUUGAAAUAAAAAAAUAUGCUCUUUUCUAUUUUUAUCAUUUUAAAUGCGAUUUGAACAUGUAUAAUUGUAAUACAUCCACUUUGUUCGUUAUUGAUACCAUCUCUAAUUAAAAUUUCUAAGUUGCAUUAUUCCACAUGUAGAAGGGUUAAAUAAAAGGAUGCGUUAUGAAAUUUUGUUUUUAAAUGACAUGCAGAAAGUCAGUAAUGUCAAUUAUUUAUCGAUUUUAAGAUAUUAACCUUUUUUUUUACAUAGACAACCAUAUUUUUUUUAUUUAGUGGAGAGAGAGGUUGGUUUAUGAUAUCAAAAGGCUUUGAACAAACACGUCUGAUACUAGCAUUUCCCCUUUAGAACAAACAAAAUGACUGCCAGUUGAGUCGUCAUACAUAGUUUAGUUGCAAAAGUGGCAAAAUUUGAUAGUGAAUCAUUGUUCGAAUUAACCUGAAUAUGAAUCUUCCUAUUUAUAUAUAUAUAUAU
rnacentral:lncRNA from 1 species